rnacentral:rRNA from 1 species
CAUGCAAGUCGAACGAAGUAGCAAUACUUAGUGGCAGACGGGUGAGUAACAUGUGGGUAUCUUCCCUAUGGUGAGGAAUAACACGAGGAAACUUGUGCUAAUACCUCAUAAGUCUUUACGGAGAAAGCUUUAUGCGCCAUUGGAUGAGCCCGCACUUGAUUAGUUUGUUGGUGGGGUAAUGGCCUACCAAGACUUUGAUCAAUAGCUGAUUUGAGAGGAUGAUCAGCCACAUUGGGACUGAGACACGGCCCAAACUCCUACGGGAGGCAGCAGUAGGGAAUCUUGCACAAUGGAGGAAACUCUGAUGCAGCGAUGCCGCGUGAGUGAAGAAGGCCCUUGGGUUGUAAAGCUCUUUCGUCGGGGAAGAAAAUGACUGUACCCGAAUAAGAAGGUCCGGCUAACUUCGUGCCAGCAGCCGCGGUAAUACGAAGGGACCUAGCGUAGUUCGGAAUUACUGGGCUUAAAGAGUUCGUAGGUGGUUAAAAAAGUUGGUGGUGAAAUCCCAGAGCUUAACUCUGGAACUGCCAUCAAAACUUUUAGCUAGAGUAUGAUAGAGGAAAGCAGAAUUUCUAGUGUAGAGGUGAAAUUCGUAGAUAUUAG